rnacentral:tRNA from 1 species
GCGGUUGUAGUAUAUUGGUAUUACAUGUGGUUGUGGUCCGCAGAAAGAGUGUUCGAUUCACUCCUUCCGCCC